rnacentral:rRNA from 1 species
AGCGAACGCUGGCGGCAGGCCUAACACAUGCAAGUCGAGCGCCGUAGCAAUACGGAGCGGCAGACGGGAGAGUAACACGUGGGAACGUACCCUUUGGUUCGGAACAACCCAGGGAAACUUGGGCUAAUACCGGAUAAGCCCUUACGGGGAAAGAUUCACUCGCCGAAGGAUCGGCCCGCGUCUGAUUAGCUAGUUGGUGGGGUAAUGGCCCACCAAGGCGACGAUCAGUAGCUGGUCUGAGAGGAUGAUCAGCCUCACUGGGACUGAGACACGGCCCAGACUCCUACGGGAGGCAGCAGUGGGGAAUAUUGGACAAUGGGCGCAAGCCUGAUCCAGCCAUGCCGCGUGGGUGAUGAAGGCCCUAGGGUUGUAAAGCCCUUUCGGCGGGGAAGAUAAUGACGGUACCCGCAGAAGAAGCCCCGGCUAACUUCGUGCCAGCAGCCGCAGUAACAC